GAACUAAAGUUUUGAAGAUUACUUGAUGUAGAAUGAUGAAAUUGAUCAUGCUUAUCUUACUUAUGAAUUGAUUUCUCAACUUUUAACACCUAAAGAGCUGAAACACUAAAAUCUCAACUUAAUGGUUAUUAUCCCACUGCAUGAUACAUAUGAUCGGGUGGUGUUGUGCAUUCAUUAGGAGAAAGUUGAUCAUGCACUUUAGGCAGUAUACAUGACACUUAUUAUAUAUUUUUUUUUCUUAAUAAGAAUUGAGAUAGACUGUUGCUUGUAGGUUUUACAUACAUAUGUAUAUUUGUACAUGUAUAUGUAUAAUGUAUAUGUGUGUGUGUGUGUAUAGAUAAAUAGAGAGUAAUUUACAGUAAAGGGCCACGAACUAAAAGUCAAGAAAACAAUGUAGUGUGUUUUGUCUUAUAUUGUAUUGGAAUUUGUGUUUUUUUUUUUUUUUGUUUUGUAAUUACCAUAUUAAAGUAAAGGAUCCCUUAUUAGAAGGGGACUCGAUAUAUAUAUGUGUGUGUGUAUAAUUUUACGUUAAGGGAAUCCCGUACUUUAAUAAAAUAAGGGAGAAGCUAAAAGAUAAAAAAACAGACUCCAAUGCAUUGUAUUUAAAUCUGUGUUUUCUCAUCUUUUAACUUAUCCCUUAUUUUAUAAAGUAUGGGAUAUAUAUGAGUCCCCUUCCAGGAAGGGAAUUACAUGCUUUAUAAAGUAAGGAACAAGGUAAAAAAAAUGGAAAAAACAUAUAUUUCAAUAUAUUACAGGACAAAAUUCAGUGUCUCAAAGUGUGAAUUUUUCUUGUAUUUUAGCUUGUCCUUUGGUUUAAUAAAGUUAGAGGUCCCUUAUUAGAAAAUUACUAUAUGUGUGUGUACAUAGGGUAAUUAUCUAGUCCAGGAGGA
rnacentral:lncRNA from 1 species